GAGUUUGAUCCUGGCUCAGAACGAACGCUGGCGGCGUGCCUAACACAUGCAAGUCGAACGUGAUCCAGAGCUUGCUCUGGUGAAAGUGGCGCACGGGUGAGUAACGCGUGGAUAACCUACCCUGGUAUCCGGGAUAACAUUCCGAAAGGGGUGCUAAUACCGGAUAAGCCCACGGGCUCUUUGGAGCUUGCGGGAAAAGGUGGCCUCUAUUUAUAAGCUACUGUAUCAGGAUGGGUCCGCGUACCAUUAGCUAGUUGGCGGUGUAACGGACCACCAAGGCGACGAUGGUUAGCUGGUCUGAGAGGAUGAUCAGCCACACUGGAACUGAGACACGGUCCAGACUCCUACGGGAGGCAGCAGUGGGGAAUUUUGCGCAAUGGGGGAAACCCUGACGCAGCAACGCCGCGUGAGUGAUGAAGGCCUUUGGGUCGUAAAGCUCUGUCAGAGGGGAAGAAGUGAUAUAGUGCUAAUACCACUUUAUCUUGACGGUACCCUCAAAGGAAGCACCGGCUAACUCCGUGCCAGCAGCCGCGGUAAUAC
rnacentral:rRNA from 1 species